UCCCCAGGUAGGGGAUGAGCUCGCAGUGCUCGCCGAGCCGCGCCAGCCGCCUGCGGUACGCCUGUCUCCUGUGCGCCGGGCUGCGGGCGUUGUGCGCUGCGAGAACAGAGAGAGUCCUGCGUGAGAUUGCGGCUGCGGCACGGGCAGUGAUAGCACUGAGUCUGCAGCCGUGUCUCGUGCGGGUAACAGUGCGGGAGGCCUCCAAAGUGGAACACGGGAAGUUCCAUUCGAAAGUGAGGGAAACACAUCCCUUCCAAACCCUUCGAUCCUGCAAAAGGGUUAGUCAGGGGUGCGUGCAGUCGUCCUGAGCGCCAUCUGGCAGCUCAGCAAACGUAGCAUGGCCAUAUUUCCGUGUGUAAACUAAUCCAUUUGCCCAGAGCCAGGCGAGCUCCCCAUCAUUUUUGGAAUUUCUGCAUCCUAGCUCAAUUAUCUAUGACCUAAAUAUUUUGCCCAUAAAAAAAUCAAGAGCUGACUGUGUAUCUCCAGUAUUUCAGAAGCAAGGAAGGAAGGAAAUGUCAAAGCCUCGUUUACAGUGAGGACAGUAAUGCUUCUUUCCUCUUACCUCUGCCCUGAAACAUAUUUUUGGGGUAUAUUAGUGCUGAGUGUCACCCCUCAGAGUAUCUGUUGUUGUUACAUAGGCAAAGGGCAGUCAGAGGCUUAGAACAGACAAAUCCUAACCAUUUCUUCCUAGGAGAUGGUAUUUUAUAUCUCUUAACAAAGACUGAGCAGCACAAAGAGCUAUGGAACACUUCAGCCCACUUCAGCUUUAAAAUGUAAACAGCCUUAUUCUACAGGUGUUAAGUCUGAAGGGCACUAAGGCACUACUAUAGGGAUGUGCAAUUUCUUACUCCUUUUCCAGGAGUAAAUCUCUCUUCAUUUAUAAUUGAUGACCUGCACUUUCUCUUCUCAGGUAGCAAAGGCAAUACAGGAUUGUUAGGAAAGCUGCAGGAGCAACUAGACCACUGUUUCUUGUUCUCUAUUUGAAUGUGAAAUAAGAGGGUGCAGUGACAUGUCUUACUUCAGUUAGAAAUGGGGUUUGAAACAUUCACAAAGGGCCCUGACAUGAAGCAUUUGAAUCAUGUUUUUGAACAGGAACAACACGAGUCCUUUGAGGAGACAAUAAGUAAUGCUAUAUUUGCAAAGGAGGUUUUUCAGUAUACUAGAACACUAUGUCUUAAAGUUUGAAACAGUUCUGCACAGUCUUAGAAGGGGAAAACCUGUUUUCCUGGAUUCCUGUGGUCAAAAUUAGGUGAUCAUUUGGCCAACCUGAGUCUCCACUAGUUAGAAGCAGAGACCUGGGGAUUGAAGAAGUCAUGGAAGGAGAAGAAAAAAGAGGGAAGAUGAGGGAAGAGGCAACAGAGCGGUAGAUGUGGAAUUUUGGGUUCUGGUCCACGAUCCUAGAAAUUCUCUUUUCAUCAUACCAAUUGAAAAAAAUAACAACCAACUAGAAUAACUAGAAAUAAUAAAACAUGCUUAAGUAAUACAAGUCUAGAUUUUCUAACCGCUAGUCUAUGUCAAUAACAACUUCAUAAGAAGCUGGGAAUAAAAUUAAGAUGGGAAAUGCAUAAGUACCAGGCUGUAAAAUGAUACAGUAGAGAGUGUAACUGUAGGACUCUAUGCCUAGCAUGAAAAGCAGGAAGACCAUAUUAAAGGCUCAUGAUUUUUUCAGUAGCAGCCAUGGCAGACACAGUCUCAAUCAUUAGAUAAUCUUCUGCUUUAUAGAGAAUAUUGGCUCUUACCUGUAGUUUUCCCAGAUUUUGGAGG